AAGGAUUCAAAAUCAAUAAUUUUUAAUGGUUGAUAUCUGCCGUUUUCAAGUUUAACUGUGUAGAAGUAUACAAAUCAGAUGAAAUUUUGAUACAAAUUUCUUUAUACUAUCUACAACAAGAUCAAUAUUUUUGAUCGAAAAUUUUAGUGCUAUUUCACAACUUUUUAUAGGAUUUUUAUUUUCAGCCGUUAAAAAUAAAAAAUUAUUGAUUUUGAAUCCUUUCGAUUGCUAGGUAAAUGAUAUCAAAAAAUCGCAAAAAUUAUUUUCUAGAAACUUCAAAUACGCUAGAUCAAGUCUAACGGAGCCGAUCGUCGAUUCAGAAAUUUCAUCAUC
rnacentral:lncRNA from 1 species